rnacentral:rRNA from 1 species
GAAACUGGCGGACUUGAGUACUCUAGAGGGCAGUGGAAUUCCCGGUGUAGCAGUGAAAUGCGUAGAGAUCGGGAGGAACACCAGUGGCGAAGGCGACUGCCUGGGGAGAAACUGACGCUGAGGCGCGAAAGCUGGGGGAGCAAACGGGAUUAGAUACCCCGGUAGUCCCAGCCGUAAACGAUGAGUGCUAGGUGUAGCGGGUAUCGACCCCUGCUGUGCCGCAGUAAACGCAAUAAGCACUCCGCCUGGGGAGUACGGCCGCAAGGUUGAAACUCAAAGGAAUUGACGGGGGCCCGCACAAGCAGCGGAGCAUGUGGUUUAAUUCGAAGCAACGCGUAGAACCUUACCAGGGCUUGACAUGUUGCGAAUCCUGCAGAGAUGUGGGAGUGCCCUUCGGGGAGCGCAAACACAGGUGGUGCAUGGUUGUCGUCAGCUCGUGUCGUGAGAUGUUGGGUUAAGUCCCGCAACGAGCGCAACCCCUGUUGUUAGUUGGCAGCAUUAAGAUGGCCACUCUAGCAAGACUGCCGGUGACAAAUCGGAGGAAGGUGGGGACGACGUCAAAUCAUCAUGCCCCUUAUGUCCUGGGCUACACACGUACUACAAUGGCUAUUACGGAGGGAAGCCAAGCCGUAAGGCGGAGCAAAUCCCCAAAAAUAGUCCCAGUUCAGAUUGUGGGCUGAAACCCGCCCACAUGAAGUCGGAAUUGCUAGUAAUGGCAGGUCAGCAUACUGCCGUGAAUACGUUCCCGGGCCUUGUACACACCGCCCGUCACACCAUGAGAGUUUGCAACACCCGAAGUCAGUAGUCUAACGAGCAAUCGAGGGCGCUGCCGAAGGUGGGGCAGAUGAUUGGGGUGAAGUCGUAACAAGGUAACC